CGGAUUCUGGCUGUGAUGUCAUUGACAAAAGAAGAAAAUGCAAAGCAGGUGGUCUUGAAUCAGCUUCCUGGUGAGCAUCAUACUUACAGCUGAGGCCUGAGACCAGCUGCAUUUUGGCCAUGGCUUUACAGAGUGCUCUGGAAGCGGUGUGGCUGGGCCUCCUCCUCAGCUUUCUCUGGAAGGGAUGUGCACCAAGACUCCUUGUUAGGGGCUCAAGCCCUUCUCAGCAGGGACGCUACAACAUGACAUACGAGCGAUUCUCCUCAUCACUGCUCAUCCUCCAGGUGCAGGUGGCAGACGCUGCCACUUACUACUGUGCUCUGCAGGACACAGAGGCAGGGAACCCAUGAAGAGCUGAACAGAAACAGGGAGAGAUCACAACGUUUCCAGGAGGUGGAAAAAGGAUAAGCAAUAGCUGCUUUCUCCCCGAUGCAGUGUUCUUCAAGCUUUCCCAUUUGGCACUGCCAUCAGAAAAAAAUUGAGUCCAGACACACUAUCUAUUAGCAAAUGUGCACAGGAACAUAUGUUUUUAGGGAGUGAUUCAAUGAUGGUGCUAUAAAUCCAUAUUAAAUAGUCUUGAUGACUGAAACACUUUUGACCCAUUUCUUUUGAGAGCUGAUUAGAUUGUUUUUUAUUUUCCUCAUAAAACAAAUGAUGAUGAACUUGUGAUAGGAGUAAGAGGCAUGUCAAUUCUGCCAUUUUAUUCUUGCUCUCUGUGCUUGCAUCUUAAAUAUUAUCUGCUAGCUUCAGUCUCUUUGCAGGAACAUUUUCAAGGUGUGCCCAUUUUGGAAAGAGUAGUUUAGUUAAUAUUGGAUAAUAUAAUAAGAAGCUGAAAGAGAAUGAGUAAGCGAGUGGCUAUUACCAACAGCCCUGAGUUUGGAACCUCAAUCCUUCCCUCAGGAUACUUUGCAUAUAAUCUAACAUGCAGACCCAGUGAGGACACCAGUGUCAAUCAGUAUAUGAAAUAUUAGUAAAACUCAAUCUCAUUCCUAAUUUUUAAACUGAAAACAAAUACGAAUGGAAAUUGUAAUAUAUUCUUCCCACAUCCUUAUUAACUUAUCUUGGUCUUCCCGCCCAGAUGUGUCCCUCCCACUUUAGAGACCAAUGCCCUAGGGUAGACCAGUGGUUCCUAAACCUGUUUAUCAGAAGUAUCUGGAAUUUUGGGAAAAAAAUUGAUUUUUUUUUUUUUUUUUGCUAUAUUCCAGAUCAACUGAAUCAGAGUUUGCAAGGGUGGGGCCCAGAAGUCUGUAUUUCCUAUUUAGUUCUCUCUGGUGAUUCUGCUGCUCAGCCAAGUUUGACCUGGGAAUCCCAGACUCUGGACCCCAGAUCUAAGGCUUUAACCACUAUUCUCUACCACCUUUCAGUUAGAAGUAUAGUGCUAGGGAAGGGUUUCAGGAAGUGAUCCCC
rnacentral:lncRNA from 1 species